rnacentral:miRNA from 1 species
GAACGGAACGGGUAUGGGGUUAAAAUGCGGACCGGAACGAAUAUGAGGUUAAAACUUAAUUUAAAACCUAUAUCCGUUCCGCAUUUUAACCCCAUAUCCGUUCCGUUC